GGAAGUAAAAGCGUAACAAGGUCUCCGUAGGUGAACCUGCGGAGGGAUCAUCACAGAGUUCAUGCCCUACCGGGUAGAUCUCCCACCCUAUGUUAUUAUUACUUUGUUGCUUUGGCGGGCCGUUAGGCUCCGGCCCGACUACCGGCCCCGGCUGGUAAGCGCCCGCCAGAGGACCCAAAACCCUGAAUAUUAGUGUCGUCUGAGUACUAUAUAAUAGUUAAAACUUUCAACAACGGAUCUCUUGGUUCUG
rnacentral:misc_RNA from 1 species